rnacentral:rRNA from 1 species
AAAUGAAGAUUUUGUGACUGAGUGGCGGACGGGUGAGUAACGCGUGGGUAACCUGCCUCAUACAGGGGGAUAACGCAUCGAAAGAUGUGCUAAUACCGCGUAAGACCACAGCUUCACAUGGAGCAGGGGUCAAAGGAGCAAUCCGGAUAAAGAUGGGCUCGCGUCCGAUUAGCUAGUUGGUGAGAUAACAGCCCACCAAGGCGACGAUCGGUAGCCGACCUGAGAGGGUGAUCGGCCACAUUGGGACUGAGACACGGCCCAAACUCC